rnacentral:rRNA from 1 species
AACGAACGCUGGCGGCGUGGAUAAGACAUGCAAGUCGGACGAGAUUUUUCGUUGUAGCAAUACGAUGGAAAGUCUAGUGGCGAACGGGUGCUUAACACGUGGGCAACCUACCAGGAAGUGGGGGAUAGCUCGCCGAAAGGCGAAUUAAUACCGCAUGUGAUUAGAGAGGACAUCCUUUCGAAAUUAAAGUCGGGGCAACCUGACGCUUCUUGUGGGGCCCGCGGCCUAUCAGCUAGUUGGUGAGGUAACGGCCCACCAAGGCUUUGACGGGUAGCUGGUCUGAGAGGACGACCAGCCACACUGGGACUGAGACACGGCCCAGACACCUACGGGUGGCAGCAGUCGAGAAUUUUUGACAAUGGGGGAAACCCUGAUCGAGCGACGCCGCGUGGAGGAUGAAGGUCUUCGGAUUGUAAACUCCUGUCAUUGGGGAACAAUGCGUGACGGUUAACUGCCGUUGCGUUGAUAGUACCCGAAGAGGAAGAGACGGCUAACUCUGUGCCAGCCGCCGCGGUAAUAC